GACGAACGCUGGCGGCGUGCUUAACACAUGCAAGUCGAACGGGCCUGUCCUGGUUUUUGCUGGGGUGGGUUAGUGGCGAACGGGUGAGUAACACGUGAGUAACCUGCCCCUCACUUCUGGAUAACCGCUUGAAAGGGUGGCUAAUACGGGGUGUUCUGGCUGUGCCGCAUGGUGUGGUUGGGAAAGAUUCACUAUUUGUUUGGUGUUUUGGUGGGGGAUGGGCUCGCGGCCUAUCAGCUUGUUGGUGGGGUGAUGGCCUGCCAAGGCUUUGACGGGUAGCCGGCCUGAGAGGGUGGGCGGUCACACUGGGACUGAGACACGGCCCAGACUCCUGCGGGAGGCAGCAGUGGGGGAUAUUGCACAAUGGGCGGAAGCCUGAUGCAGCGACGUCGCGUGAGGGAUGGAGGCCUUCGGGUUGUGAACCUCUUUCGCCGGUGAAGAAGGUCCUGCUUUCUGGGUGGGGUUGACGGUAGCCGGGCUAUGAAGCGCCGGCUAACUACGUGCCAGCAGCCGCGGUAAUACGUAGGGCGCGAGCGUUGUCCGGAAUUAUUGGGCGUAAAGGGCUUGUAGGCGGCUGGUCGCGUCUGCCGUGAAAUCCUCUGGCUCAGCUGGGGGCGUGCGGUGGGUACGGGCUGGCUUGAGUGCGGUAGGGGAGGCUGGAACUCCUGGUGUAGCGGUGGAAUGCGCAGAUAUCAGGAGGAACACCGGUGGCGAAGGCGGGUCUCUGGGCCGUUACUGACGCUGAGGAGCGAAAGCGUGGGGAGCGAACAGG
rnacentral:rRNA from 1 species